rnacentral:rRNA from 1 species
AGAGUUUGAUCCUGGCUCAGAACGUACGCUGGCGGCACGCCUAACACAUGCAAGUCGAACGAAGUAGCAAUACUUAGUGGCAGACGGGUGAGUAACAUGUAGGUAUCUGCCCUUUGGCCUGGAAUAACACGAGGAAACUUGUGCUAAUACCGGAUAAGUCUUUACAGAGAAAGCUUUAUGCACCAUUGGAUGAGCCUGCACUUGAUUAGUUUGUUGGUGGGGUAAUGGCCUACCAAGACUGUGAUCAAUAGCUGAUUUGAGAGGAUGAUCAGCCACAUUGGGACUGAGACACGGCCCAAACUCCUACGGGAGGCAGCAGUGGGGAAUCUUGCACAAUGGAGGAAACUCUGAUGCAGCGAUGCCGCGUGAGUGAAGAAGGCCUUUGGGUUGUAAAGCUCUUUCGUCGGGGAAGAAAAUGACUGUACCCGAAUAAGAAGGUCCGGCUAACUUCGUGCCAGCAGCCGCGGUAAUACGAAGGGACCUAGCGUAGUUCGGAAUUACUGGGCUUAAAGAGCUCGUAGGUGGUUAAAAAAGUUGAUGGUGAAAUCCCAAGGCUCAACCUUGGAACUGCCAUCAAAACUUUUUAGCUAGAGUGUGAUAGAGGUAAGUGGAAUUUCUAGUGUAGAGGUGAAAUUCGUAGAUAUUAGAAAGAACACCAAAUGCGAAGGCAACUUACUGGGUCACUACUGACACUGAGGAGCGAAAGCAUGGGUAGCGAAGAGGAUUAGAUACCCUCGUAGUCCAUGCCGUAAACGAUGUGUGCUAGACGUUGGAAAUAUAUUUUUCAGUGUCGCAGCGAAAGCAUUAAGCACACCGCCUGGGGAGUACGACCGCAAGGUUAAAACUCAAAUGAAUUGACGGGGACCCGCACAAGCAGUGGAGCAUGUGGUUUAAUUCGAAGAUACGCGCAGAACCUUACCAACGCUUGACAUGUUCGUCGCGAGACUAAGAGAUUAGUUUCUUCAGUUCGGCUGACGAAACACAGGUGCUGCAUGGCUGUCGUCAGCUCGUGUCGUGAGAUGUUGGGUUAAGUCCCGCAACGAGCGCAACCCUCACUUUUAGUUGCCAUCAUUAAGUUGGGCACUCUGAAAGAACUGCCAGUGAUAAGCUGGAGGAAGGUGGGGAUGACGUCAAGUCCUCAUGGCCCUUACGUGUUGGGCUACACACGUGCUACAAUGGUAUCUACAACAGGAAGCAAGACUGCGAGGUCAAGCAAAUCCUUAAAAGAUACCUCAGUUCGGAUUGCACUCUGCAACUCGAGUGCAUGAAGCUGGAAUUACUAGUAAUCGUGGAUCAGCGUGCCACGGUGAAUGCGUUCCCGGGUCUUGUACACACCGCCCGUCACACCAUGGGAGUUGGUUCUACCUUAAGGCAAAGCUUAUACCUUUGACUACGGUACGAUCAGCAACUGGGGUGAAGUCGUAACAAGGUAACC